rnacentral:rRNA from 1 species
ACUUCUCUCCUAGUAGGACGUCGCGACCCGUUGGGUGUCGAUCGACGGCCCGUACGGUAGACUGUCGUGCCAAAUCGGCACGGCAGACCAUCGGUGUCCUUUACCCGAUCGACUGCCCGGCGGUAUUGAAAACUUUUAAUCAAGAUUGGUAUCGAGUCGCACUUUCGAAUGCGUUCGGCUUGGCGAUCGAUCGAGUUUCGCUUGGAUUCAACAGACGUUUAGUGCCGUUGGCGUUGACGCUUGGCUCUUUUGAACGCCAAUGUUCUCGAACCGGCUCGGAAAAGCCUAGCGCUUUUUAAUUAAAAUUACCGGUCAGCGACGCUUUUGCUUUGGAUACUUUCAGGACCUGUCUUGAAACACGGACCAAGGAGUCUAACAUGUACGCGAGUCAUUGGGACUUGUAUUAUUUUAUACAAAUAUAACUAAACCUAAAGGCGCAAUAAAAGUAAAAGUUUGCGAGCUUCGUGCUCCGCGACCUAGGGAGGAUGAUUCGCGUCACGUAUGCGGAUCCGCACUCCCGGGGCGUCUCGUGCUCAUUGCGAGCUGAGGCGCACUAAGAGCGUACACGUUGGGACCCGAAAGAUGGUGAUCUAUGCCUGGUCAGGACGAAGUCAGGGGAAACCCUGAUGGAGGUCCGUAGCGAUUCUGACGUGCAAAUCGAUCGUCGGAACUGGGUGUAGGGGCGAAAGACUAAUCGAACCAUCUAGUAGCUGGUUCCCUCCGAAGUUUCCCUCAGGAUAGCUGGCACUCGUAAUUUCGAGUUUCAUCUGGUAAAGCGAAUGAUUAGAGGCCUUGGGGCCAAAACGACCUUAACCUAUUCUCAAACUUCAAAUGGGUGAGAUCUCUGGCUUGCUUGAAUAUUGAAGCCAUGAGAUUUAUAUACAAAAAAAAAAGAAUCAGAGUGCCAAGUGGGCCAAUAUUGGUAAGCAGAACUGGUGCUGUGGGAUGAACCAAACGCCGAGUUAAGGCGCCAAAGUCGACGCUUAUGGGAUACCAUGAAAGGUGUUGGUUGCUUAAGACAGCAGGACGGUGGCCAUGGAAGUUGGAAUCCGCUAAGGAGUGUGUAACAACUCACCUGCCGAAGCAACUAGCCCUGAAAAUGGAUGGCGCUGAAGCGUCGCGCCUAUACUCGGCUGUCAGCGGCAAGUGGGGCGUUGUAAAAGAAAUUUUUCAACGUCAUGAAGCUCUGACGAGUAGGAGGGUCGCGGCGGUGUGCGCAGAAGGGUCUGGGCGUGAGCCUGCCUGGAGCCGCCGUCGGUGCAGAUCUUGGUGGUAGUAGCAAAUACUCCAGCGAGGCCCUGGAGGACUGACGUGGAGAAGGGUUUCGUGUGAACAGCCGUUGCACACGAGUCAGUCGAUCCUAAGCCCUAGGAGAAAUCCUAUGUCGAUGACGGUGUUUAAAUUUAUUAUUUUCAAUUAUUGAAAGCUCACACCCGUCGGGCGAAAGGGAAUCCGGUUCCUAUUCCGGAACCCGGCAGCGGAACCGCUUAAAAUUCGGGCUCUCGCAAGAGUGUUCGUCGGGGUAACCCAAAGUGACCUGGAGACGCCGACGGGAGGUCCGGGAAGAGUUUUCUUUUCUGCAUAAGCGUUCGAGUUCCCUGGAAACCUCUAGCAGGGAGAUAGGGUUUGGAACGCGAAGAGCACCGCAGUUGCGGCGGUGUCCGGAUCUUCCCCUCGGACCUUGAAAAUCCAGGAGAGGGCCACGUGGAGCUGUCGCGCCGGUUCGUACCCAUAUCCGCAGCAGGUCUCCAAGGUAAAGAGCCUCUAGUCGAUAAAAUAAUGUAGGUAAGAGAAGUCGGCAAAUUGGAUCCGUAACUUCGGAAUAAGGAUUGGCUCUGAGGAGCGGGGCGUGUCGGGCUUGGUCGGGAAGCGGGUGCGGCUGACGUGCCGGGCCUGGGCGAGGUUUAACUUUGCGGUGGUUUGCGCGCGUGCAUCGCGUUCCACGAGGGCCUCUAUCAGUGCGAGUAUCCAGGGUGUGAGAGGACCUUCCCAACAACUAACGGCAGAGGGCAGCACCAUCGUAGGGCUCACAAGGCCUGGUAUGACGAGCGGGUUGCAUCCAACAGGCGAACUGGAUGGACUAUGGAAGAAACAUCACUCCUAGCCUGCCGGGAGGCGGAGCUAACCAUCCAAGGUGUCCGCUUUGUGAACCAGGCCCACCACGAGUCCUUUCCACACCGGACCAUUGAAUUCAUCAAGGGACACCGACGCCCCCAGGACUACAAGGCAUUUGUUCAGCAGAACAUCGCUGAACAACACGACAUUUCGCAGCUUGAGGAGGAGGAUUUAAGCGACGACCAACAAGCAGCGAGGGGCACUACCACUCCCCCUGCCACGUCUUCUCCUUAUCCUCUGAUUGAGUAUCUAGGAUCCCUACCAGAGAUGCCACCAGACACCGGCUACCAAUCGGAGAGGCUUGACGAGAUUGUUCGCUCCGCUUCCAACGGUGCCUCCAACAAGACCGUCGCUGAGAGAUUGUCCCUGUAUCUCAGGGACAUUCUUCCAAGACCACACACUACCAGAGCAGCUCGUCAUCUGUCACCACCAACUACGCUCACCAACAGGCAGAAACGAAGGAAGGACUAUGCUGCAACUCAGAGGCACUGGAAGACCAAUCGGAGCAGGUGCAUCAAUGCCAUCCUUGGGAACAUCGAGGAUGCC